CCUACGGGAGGCAGCAGUGAGGAAUAUUGGUCAAUGGACGAGAGUCUGAACCAGCCAAGUAGCGUGAAGGAUGACUGCCCUAUGGGUUGUAAACUUCUUUUAUAAAGGAAUAAAACGAGGCACGUGUUCCUUUUUGCAUGUACUUUAUGAAUAAGGAUCGGCUAACUCCGUGCCAGCAGCCGCGGUAAUACGGAGGAUCCGAGCGUUAUCCGGAUUUAUUGGGUUUAAAGGGAGCGUAGAUGGGUUGUUAAGUCAGUUGUGAAAGUUUGCGGCUCAACCGUAAAAUUGCAAUUGAUACUGGCAGUCUUGAGUACAGUUGAGGUAGGCGGAAUUCGUGGUGUAGCGGUGGAAUGCUUAGAUAUCACGAAGAACCCCGAUUGCGAAGGCAGCUUACUAAACUGUGACUGACAUUGAUGCUCGAAAGUGUGGGUAUCAAACAGGAUUAGAUACCCUAGUAGUC
rnacentral:rRNA from 1 species